ensembl:lncRNA
GUCUCAUUCUCUGAAAAUUAGAUUGGUAUUUUCAUGAGGAUUGCAUUUUAUCUGUAGAUCGCUUUUGGUAAAAUGGCCGUUUUUACUAUAUUAAUCCUGCCAAUCCAUGAGCGUGGGAGAUCUUUCCAUCUUCUGAGAUCUUCUUCAAUGUCUUUCUUCAGAGGCUUGAAGUUCUUAUAGUACAGAUCUUUCACUUGCUUGGUUAGAUUCACAACGAUGUGUUUUAUACUAUUUGGGACUAUUAUGAAGGGUGUCGAUCCCCUAAUUUCUUUCUUGGCUUGUUUUUCUCUCUUGUGUAGAGGAAGGCUACUGAUUAAUCUGAGUUAAUUUUAUACCCAGCCAGUUUGCUGAUGGUGUUCCUCAGGUUUAGUAGUUCUCUGUUGGAACUUUAGGGAUCACUUAAAUAUACUAUCAUAUCAUCUACAAAUAGUGAUAUUUUCACUUCUUCCUUUCCAAUCUCUAUCCCCUUGACCUCCUUUUGUUGUCUGAUUGCUCUGGCUAGAACUUUGAGAACUAUAUCGAAUAUGUAGGGAGAGAGUGCACAGCCUUUUCUUGUCCCUGAUUUUAGUGGAAUUGCUUCAAGUUUCUCUCCAUUUAGUUUAAUAUUAGCUACUGGUUUGCUGUAUAUGGAUUUUGCUAUGCUUAGGUAUGGACCUUGAAUUCCUAUUCUUUCCAGGACUUUUAUCAUGAAGGGGUGUUGAAUUUUGUCAAAUGUUUUCUCAGCAUCUAAUGAAAUUGAUCAUGUGGGUUUGAUGUUUCAGUUUGUUUAUAUAGUGGAUUACAUUGAUGGUUUUCCGUAUAUUAAACCUUCCCUGCAUGCCUGGGAUGAAGCCUACUUGAUCAUGGUGGAUGAUUGUUUUGAUGUGCUCUUGGAUUCGGUGUGCAGAAUUUUAUUGAGUAUUUUUGUGUCGAUAUUCAUAAGGGAAAUUCGUCUGAAGUUCUCUUUCUUUUUUGGGUCCUUCCUUGUGUGGUUUAGGUAUAAGAGUAAUUGUGGCUUCAUAGAAGGAAUUUGGUAGCGCUCCAUCAGCUUCAAUUUUGUGGAAUAGUUUGGAUAAUAUCGCUAUGAGCUCUUAAAGGUCUGAUAGAAUUCUGCACGGAACAUAUCUGGACCUGGUAAGCCCCAUUUUUAAGGAACUCAGAGCCCCUGUAUAGCAUUUCUACUGAUGUGGCUUUUCAUUUAGUUCACAAACAUCCAGGGGCCAGGGGGAAGCUUAAAGCUUGCCAGACAGAACAAAGGAGAACCGUGUCCUGGGACAGCGUAGAGGACACUUAGGAACACUUGGACACCUCUGUUUUCUGCAAUCGUGGAAACCUCCAUAGGAAGCAGCAUGCAUCGCCACUUUUGAGCAGGGCGGUGGCUUUGUCCAGGGGAUCACUCCUGGCAUCCCCCAGUGUUUCCUGCAUGGCAAGAACUAGGCCAUAAAGGGCAAAAGGGGAUUCUGGGGCCAUGCCCUGAAUCCCUGCAAAUAAAAAAGUUAGACCAAGUGUGAAGGCUAGCAUGGGGAAAAAUGAGGCCUUUUAUAGUAUUUUUUAUGAAAUUGUUCUUCUUGCCACGUCUUGGCUACAUUGUACUUCCAGUUUCACUGAGUGGUAUGGGCCACUUGUGGGUGUGUCGUCUGGGACAGGCUUUCAUGGUCUUUGUUGAAAAGUCUGGUGUAAUUUUGAUAGGUCUGCCUUAAUAUGUUACUUGACCUGUUUCCCUUAUUGCUUUUAAUGUUCUUUCUUUGUUUUCUGCAUUUGGUGUUUUCACUAUUAUGUGUCGGUAGGAAUUUUUUUUCUGUUCUUAACUAUCGAGUUCUGUGGGCUACUUGGGUGUUCAUGGGCAUCUCAUUUUUUGUUGUUGUUGCUUUGUUUUAGUUUGAGAUGUUUCCAUCUAUGAUUAGUUGAAGAUAUUUAAGUUGGGAAUCUUCACUCUCUUCUAUACCUGUUAUCCUUAAGGUUGGUCUUCUCACUGUGUCCCUGAUUUCCUGGAUGGUUUGGGUUAGGACCUUUUUUCACUUUGCAUGUUCGUUGAUUGUUGUGUCUAUGUUUUCUAUGGUAUCUUCUGCUCCUGAGAUUUUCUCUUGUAUCUCUUGUAUUCUAUUGGCGAUGCUUGCAUCUAUGAUUCCUGAUCUCUUUCCUAGGUUAUCUAUCUUGAGGGCUCUUGCCUUUUGAUAUUUCUUUAUUGUUUCUGUUUCUGUUUUUAUAUCUAGGCUGUUUUUGUUCAAUUCCUUUACCUGUUUGGUUGUAUUUUCCUGUAUUUCUUCCGGGGAGUUAUGGCCUUCUCAAAGGACUCUAUCAUUAUCAUGGGAUAUCAUUUUACUUUUGAAUCUUGCUUUAUAGGUGUGAUGGCAAGUCCAGGACUUAUUGUAGGGGGAGAACUGGUUUCUGAUGAUAACUAGCCUUGGUUUCUAUGGCUUAUUUAUCUUCUGCUUGCCAUUUGGCAUCUGCUUUCCUCUAGUGCCUGCCCGACCUGUCUCUGACUGGAGCCUGUCCUUCUUGUGAUCUUGGUUGUGUCAGAACUCUCAGAGUCCAGGUGUCUUUCUGAUCCUAGGAUCCUAUAUUUCAAAGCUUCUGGUGGUCAAGUUGCCUCUGAGAUACUGAAGUCCUAGUGACGAAGCUCCUGAGGACCUGUUUUGUCACAGCUCCUGUGAUUCAAAAUUUGUCUGCAUGUUGAACAAGUGGAUUGGAGGGAAUUGAGAAGCCUGAGAUUCCUUGGAGCAUAGGUAAAAUCUGGGACAAACCUGGGCCUCUGCGUGGGUGGGGUUUGUGUUUUGCUGGUUUCUAUGUGGGUCCCAGUUAUACUGUGUGUUGGGAAGGAAGUUGUUUCGUCAACUGUGACCUUGAGUGUGUCAGUUCUCCAGGGCUCCUGCCUGUGUCAAUCUCCUGGAUGUUGAGCUUCCUCUGUGAUCCUGUGUUCCUGAGAUCCUGGACAUGUUCUAGAACCUGGGUGAUGGGCUUCAUUUCGGUGAUGUGGGAAUGGAUAUGGGACCAGUGUCCAAUGACUGCUCAGGGCACAAGUUCAGACCAUAAGGGACCUCCAACAGAUGGCUGGGCAAAGGUUCCUGCAUCCCUGGUUCCCAGGAGAGCCAGUCACUCCCAGUGUCGUAACAGAUGUUGUGUCCUCCUCACCUGGGACCCUAGGCGUGUUACAGCACCUGGCUGAUAGUCUGGGUGCUGUGUAUAUUCUUUAUUGUACACUAAAAACCAAUAGAUGAAGAAAGUACAAAAGAAGGAGAGAUGAGAUCUGGUGAAACAGUGGGGGAUGACAAUGGAUUGUUUCAUUCAGGGCUUGCAGGAGGGAUUCAGAAUCAAAAAGACCAUUAUGGAAGGAGAGAGGAGAUCGAACUAUGCUAGAAAAUGAAUGCAGAUAGGACCUUGGGUCUUGAUAGAUCCAGAAGCACCAUAAGCUACGAAUUCAGGUUUCCAAAUUCUUCUACCAGGACUUCUUCUACCAGGAAACAAUCUACAAGUGACAGACAUUGUCUACACCAGGUUGGCACUGGUGCAGCACCAUAUUACCUGAAUGUCCACAUGUCAGCAAGGUUUUCCUGUUUUGCUGGGCAGGCCUCUGUGACAUGGCCCUCAGUAACCACCUAUGGUACAGACUGCACGUUCUACUAUGGCUCUGGCUCUAGUCACAUUGGAAGGAAGACUGUGGACAGUUACUGACCUAUUGAACAGGCUGUAAUAAGUACUGAUAUGGGCUCAGCCUACAUCAAUGUGAGUAAGGACUCCUGGGAUAGGUAUUCCCUAUGUCUGUCCUGGGAAUGUAGGGAGAGCUUUUCCUACCUUUGUAGGAAGGACGAAAUGUUUGUGGUUGCUGUAUCUGCACAUUGUGUGUACAGUGACUCAAUCAUCAAGGUGAGAAAAUGAAGGGAACACAUUGGGACCUAGACCUGGGUGGGGUCUUCACAUGGUUGGCGUGUCCUAAAAAAAAUGUAGUGUUUUGUUGUCUUUGCAGUGACAGAAAAUUAUUACUGACUGUAGAGUGAUGUAUUGUGUGACAAAGACACCUCAAAGUGACUGUGCCUUCCCACCUGCCCUGUCUUCUCCAUGAACUGCACUGAGGCAGAAACAUGCUGCUCCAUCAAUGUAAGACAGAAACCACUGUGGUGAAAGGCAGGAGUGUUUACAAGGAAGCAGCUCCUAUCUGGGAAGGAGCCAUGAGUGCAGGAGGAAGAACUCCGAAAAGAAAACCCUUUCUUUGCAGGGACAAAACCCAGUUUAUUACCAGGAAGCAUGGGGGACACAAUGGAUGGGCAGAUGGGACAUCUUGAACAAUGAUGGCCAGAGCCUCCUGCUCCUUGCCUGGUGAGAUCUACCUGGUGUGAGAGGCUUGGUGGGCAGCAACUGAAGUCCUUAAGCAGUCAUUUCCCCCGUGCUUGAUUGGAAAAUUCUCCAUGGGACUCAGAGAACGGCAACAGCCCGUUCCUUUCUUUGUAGUUUGAUGUGGUAAAAGGGGUUCAUGGACAAUUUCUAGCUGGUGUUUGUUUCUGUUUUCUCUGUAUCCAAAGGAAUGGAUGUGCCCAGCAGACCAUUCCAACAUUUGUUGUGAUUUUAUUUGGGUCACAGAAUCUCUGGUCAGCAAGACCUGACUCCUGCUUGUCUCCACUUCCCCUGUACUCAGAAGGAAAAUCACUUCCCUUGGGGAUGGGGAGCUGAUCAAAGCUGAUAUCUGUCUCACCUUGGUUCAGAUCACACACUCUCUGGGCUUCAAUCCCUGACUGUAGUUGGUCUUCAAUCACCGUAUAUGUGAAGGGAUAAUUAUUGAUCUCAGGGCUGACAUGGCCACAGCUCAAUCUGUUUACUGUUCUGCUAUGGAUUGUUUCAUGCAGACCCAUAGAAGAGUGGGAUGAUCGGUACUCUUCAGUGUUUUCAGGAUCUGAGCCAGAGCAUUCACAAGUGAUUGUAUUUCAGCUACUGUAUUAUAGAGGACCUUGUUUCUUGUUACCACCUCCUGUACUUGCUCAGUACCUGGUGUGGAGAGAACAUUCUCUAAGGAAUCCCCUUGCCCUAAGUAUUUUGUGCUGGAGCCUCCAUAUUUUGAAGCAUUCUUUGUGAUUUUAUUCCAAGAGCUCUUCGAAGUAACUUCCCCUUUCCCUGGUAUCCAAGUCUUGGUUGUGUCCCUGAUCUGGGUGCAGCUUGGGAUGCAAGGACUUACUCUUCGAAGCCUUUCUCCCUGGCUUAUAGCUCUAUAUCUUAUAGUAAUUUGCUUCCCUUCAUGGGGAUGGGACCCCUUGAAAUCUUUCACUUCGUGUUUUUCCUUUGGGACACAUAUCUCUCCAGUUUCUACGCUCUCAUGUCUCCUCCUGGAGUCAUCACCUAAACCCAGGGUAUUUACGGGGUUUUGGCAUGUAUUCUGGAAGGUAUGCAUCCAGUGUUUUGAAGGCAAGCUGACCUUGGCAGGGUGUACUUUACUGGGGACACCUGGAUCAUUUCUCACAGGCCAGGGCGGUGCCUGCUCCUUUGAUUUCAGGUCUAUCAUACUGUGUGUUUGUAUAUUUUGGAUGGAGUGAACUGAGGGCUGUAGGGUAGGUGUUUGCAGAUGACCAGGAUGUUUGUUGGGCUGUAAAGACCCAUAGUCCCUGGGACUGAUACCGAUAGCUUGGCCAUUGUGACUCUCACUGGAUCCCAGACUCACUGUCCAUGCAGAUGGCUCUUCUUUCACCUCCACUAUGUUGGUUUGGCUGAUGAGGGUGGGACAGUUUCAUCCUGACCAAGCACUAUUAAAGGACAGCAGUGAUGAGCUGAGUCCACAUCCUGAAAUCUUCCUUUGUGGAUGCUUGUCAAUUUUUGUAUUGGUAUUUAUUUGGAGACUGCCUGUUUCACUUCAUUCCAGUCGUGCUCUGCUGGGGUUUUGCGUGGAGGCAAAAGUCAGGUUGCUGAAUACUCAGGUAUGUCUGAAAGGGAUCUGGUCAGACUUGUGAGGGCCCAUGACUGGCAUCAGGUUGAGGGGCUCUUUGGUUCUCCUGCACCUCUGCAGCUGAGUGCUUCCACAGAGCACUCUCUAGCCUGGCAGUUGAGGCAUUUUCUACCCUUGCCCCUCCUGGGUCCUGGUGAUGCAAAUUUUCCAGGAUCAUGGCAGCCUUUGAAUAGUACUCCUCCUUGGAAUCACAAAUGGAGGAGUAGGGAAACACAACCUGGGGAAGGUUUGAGGCUGGAACUCCAGGUGUGGCGAGAUCGCUUGCCUCAAGGAAAUGCAGAUAUGGUUUCCUUCUGGGUUUGACUGGAAGUUCUGUACAAUUUGACUGUGGCUUCCUUUCGUUUUUUGAAUCAAGGCAGGUAUGAUCAUUAGCAGCCUUUACAAAAAGCUGCUUGUCUGUCCUUAGUGUGGCGUUCCUGAAUUUCAGCCCCUUCUCAAGGUUGCUGAUGGAAGGGCAAGGCAGGUGUUUGCCCCCUAAACCAGUGCCCUUCUUGAUGGUGGUAUAUUUUUCAUUCUUUUCUGUGACCUCCUGUAAGGGUACCUCCAUGGGCACAGUCCCCUUCAUUUUGUUCCACAUGUAGCUUUUGUGGUUGAGGAUGGAGUGCUGGGCAGGUUGGGAGAGUUGAGCCCUGCUCUUGCAAUAAUUAUCAGUUUUUGCUACAAAAUUUCCCUGUAGCUGGGUCCACUUUCAGGAUGAGAGGAAUGUGAUGGG